rnacentral:lncRNA from 1 species
UCCUUCGCUCUUUAUGACAUCUUAUGAAAAAAUUAAGAUAUUUUAUGAAAAAAUUAUGACAUCUUGUGCAGCAAGUCAUAAUUUGACCGCAGAAUGUCAUAAUAUUGCCACAAAAUGUCAUAAUAUUUAAAAAAAAGAGAGAUAUUUUCGUCAUUUAAAUUUUCAAAUAAAAAUAAAAUUAUGGACAUUAAAUGCAUGUUGAAAAAUGGUGGC